rnacentral:rRNA from 1 species
CCUACGGGGAGCAGCAGUGAGGAAUAUUGGUCAAUGGGCGGGAGCCUGAACCAGCCAAGUCGCGUGAGGGAAGACGGUCCUAUGGAUUGUAAACCUCUUUAGGCGGGGAGCAAUGCCGGGCACGUGUGCCCGGAGGGAGAGUACCCGCAGAAUAAGCAUCGGCCAACUCCGUGCCAGCAGCCGCGGUAAUACGGAGGAUGCGAGCUUUAUCCGGAUUUAUUGGGUUAAAAGGGUGCGUAGGCGGAUUUUUAAGUCAGCGGUAAAAUGUCGGGGCUAAACCGGGACCGGCCGUUGAAACUGGGGAGCUAGAUUGGUCGAGAGGUGGGCGGAAUGCGAGGUGUAGCGGUGAAAUGCGUAGAGAUGACGCAGAAUACCGAUUGCGAAGGCAGCCGACCGGCGACCGACUGACGCUGAGGUACGAAAGCGUGGGGAUCAAACAGGAUUAGAUACCCGAGUAGUC